AGUGAACGCUGGCGGUAGGCCUAACACAUGCAAGUCGAACGGCAGCACAGUAAGAGCUUGCUCUUACGGGUGGCGAGUGGCGGACGGGUGAGGAAUACAUCGGAAUCUACUUUUUCGUGGGGGAUAACGUAGGGAAACUUACGCUAAUACCGCAUACGACCUACGGUUGAAAGCAGGGGAUCUUCGGACCUUGCGCGAUUGAAUGAGCCGAUGUCGGAUUAGCUAGUUGGCGGGGUAAAGGCCCACCAAGGCGACGAUCCGUAGCUGGUCUGAGAGGAUGAUAAGCCACAUUGGAACGUGGACACGGUCCAGAGUCCUACGGGAGGCAGCAGUGGGGAAUAUUGGACAAUGGGCGCAAGCCUGAUCCAGCCAUACCGCGUGGGUGAAGAAGGCCUUCGGGUUGUAAAGCCCUUUUGUUGGGAAAGAAAAGCAGCAGGUUAAUACCCCGCUGUUCUGACGGUACCCAAAGAAUAAGCACCGGCUAACUUCGUG
rnacentral:rRNA from 1 species